rnacentral:rRNA from 1 species
GAUGAACGCUGACAGAAUGCUUAACACAUGCAAGUCGAUGGGGAAGUGGUGCUUGCACCAUGGCAACCAUGGCGGACGGGUGAGUAACGCGUAAGGGGCUUACCUGCAGGACUGGGAUAACAGGGGGAAACUCCUGACAAGACCGGAUAAUGUCAUGGAGCUGCAUGGCUUUAUGAUGAAAGGAGACGCCUGCGGAGAGCCUUGCGUCCUAUUAGCUAGUUGGUGAGGUAAUGGCUCACCAAGGCGAAGAUAGGUAGCCGGCCUGAGAGGGUGGACGGCCACAAGGGGACUGAGAUACGGCCCUUACUCCUACGGGAGGCAGCAGUGGGGAAUAUUGGACAAUGGGGGCAACCCUGAUCCAGCAAUUCUGUGUGCACGAAGAAGGUUUUCGGAUUGUAAAGUGCUUUCAGCAGGGAAGAAGUAAGUGACGGUACCUGCAGAAGAAGCGACGGCUAAAUACGUG